UCCCAUGAGAGCUUUUGUUCCGUAAAUACUACGAUAUUUUAGGUGUCAAGUUUAUGGACAUGUUGUAGCAGUGUGUAGGAGGGAGAUUCCUAGAUGUGAGAAGUGUGCAGAAGGGCAUGAGACGAAGGAAUAUGUAGUAUUGGUGGAGAAAAUGGUGUGUGUUUAGUUGUGGGGGUGCCCAUAGGGCUGGAGAUCGCCAGGGUUAGAGUAGUACAGAAAGGGUUGUAUGCUGAAGCAGUGAAGAGAAGGGUAGAGGAAGAUGGGUACAGGGUGAGGAAUACUGAGAGGAUUCCUGAGUAGGCAGAGACCAAGAGAGAGUGAUGGGAAGAAUAUGUGCUUAGAGAGAGGGCUAAUUGUUGGCAGAGCAAUUUGUAUUUUUCCCAAUUUUGUAUUACCACAUCAAUAAUUUAAUGUAGGUAGGCCGUGAUUGGCCUCACACAUCAGUACAGUAGGUGGCGGUGCAUGCACUUAAAUUGGAUGCGAUCUGCCAUCAAAAUCCCAAAGAAGAAGAAUCUGCCCGGUUUAAAGUGGGGUGGCAGAAAAAUUAUGGAUCUCCCUUGUGAAGCUGCUUUGGCAAUGCUUGCGAUGUAGAAUUGUUGGCGCAUUAGAAGUUCUUGCUAUUAGAAUUCGCCACAGGACAAUGAGAGAUAUUUCACCGAAUAUGGUAGUGAGAGGAAGCCCACUGGCCGACAGUGGGAGAAGAUGGAACGAUAUGGAUUUUGGCCGACGUUCUUCACAUUUUCUAACCGACAAAACAUUUGAUUUCAAUAGCAAGAACAAUAUGUUAUGAACAGAGUGGACUAAGCUUUGUAGAUUUACCCUUUAAAUCGCGUUCUUUAGAAGAAGUGCAAAUGCGAAUUGAGUUAUUGCACACGCGCUCUUCACAUAGGUGAGGUUCACUCUGUUUGUUCCAAUUGGAAACGACAGGCUGUGGUCUAUCUUGGUUUAGUUAUACAAAUCUUUGGUAUGGAUAUGGCGUCGCAGCAGCGCAUCAAAGCUCUCUGCUCACAACCCUACAGUGCUGAAGAAGGGCUGGACGACUUCACAUCAAAUAAGGUGGCUAACAACAGACCUCCAUCCUAUGCUAGCUUGCUACCGAUGUCCUGGCUAGCUGUCUAAAUCGCCGUGACCCCCAAACCAACCUCUCCACUCCCUGGACCCUUUUGAUCACUCGACUAAGGAUGCCUCUCCUUAAUGUCAAUAUGUCUUGUCCAUUGCUGUUCUGGACCUGAGCCCUAGGACCAUGCCCCAGGACUACCUGACAUGAUGACUCCUUGCUGUCCCCAGUCCACCUGGCCAUGCUGCUGCUCCAGUUUCAACUGGCCUGGGCCCUAGGACCAUGUCCCAGGACUACCUGACAUGAUGACUCCUUGCUGUCCCCAGUCCACCUGGCCAUGCUGCUGCUCCAGUUUCAACUGUUCUGCCUUACUAUUAUUCAACCAUGCUGGUCAUUUAUGAACAUUUGAACAUCUUGGCCACGUUCUGUUAUAAUCUCCACCCGGCACAGCCAGAAGAGGACUGGCCACCCCACAUAUGCUCUCUCUAAUUCUCUCUUUCUUUCUCUCUCUCUCGGAGGACCUGAGCCCUAGGACCGUGCCCCAGGACUACCUGACAUGAUGACUCCUUGCUGUCCCCAGUCCACCUGACUGUGCUGCUGCUCCAGUUUCAACUGUUCUGCCUUAUUAUUAUUCGACCAUGCUGGUCAUUUAUGAACAUUUGAACAUCUUGGUCAUGUUCUGUUAUAAUCUCUACCCGGCACAGCCAGAAGAGGACUGGCCACCCCACAUAGCCUGGUUCCUCUCUAGGUUUCUUCCUAGGUUUUGGCCUUUCUAGGGAGUUUUUCCUAGCCACCGUGCUUUUACACCUGCAUUGUUUGCUGUUUGGGGUUUUAGGCUGGGUUUCUGUACAGCACUUUGAGAUAUCAGCUGAUGUACGAAGGGCUAUAUAAAUAAAUUUGAUUUGAUUUGAUUUGAUUCUGUAACCGUAA